rnacentral:rRNA from 1 species
CCCUUAGAUGUUCUGGGCCGCACGCGCGCUACACUGAUUCAUGCAACAAGUUUUGUCCUUGGCUGAUAGGCCUGGGUAAUCUUUGAACGUGAAUCGUGAUGGGGAUAGAUGAUUGCAAUUAUUCAUCUUCAACGAGGAAUUCCUAGUAAACGCAAGUCAUCAGCUUGCAUUGAUUACGUCCCUGCCCUUUGUACACACCGCCCGUCGCACCUACCGAUUGAAUGGUCCGGUGAAAUCUUCGGGUCUGAGAGAUGUCUGAUUAAUUUCGGACGCCUUUUGGAAAAGUUGUUUAAACCUUACCAUUUAGAGGAAGGUGAAGUCGUAACA